CCAAGACAAGAUCUGGGCAGGAUGAGAGCCUGCUGUUCACUGGUGCCAGCUGUGAGCAAUUAUUAUCUUAGAGAGACUAUUUAACCGCCACCUGACCAUCAUCUCAUGAUUGCCUUUUCAGAAGACAGAACUGCCUGACAUUGCUGGUGAGUGGAG
rnacentral:lncRNA from 1 species